CCACCGAACUCUCUCGUGAAUCCUUAAAAAAAACUCUCUAACCGCACCCUCACCCCUUGUCGACCUCCUCUCCCCCAUGAUCUCUUCCCCGUCGCCGCCACCAACGCCGACCGGUUCCGGCGAGCUCCGGCCGCGCGCUACACGCCCCCAAGCUCCACCCCUCCCCCCUCGUCCAGAUCCGUGCCUCAAGGCGUACAUCAUUGCCCGCGGCUAGGGUUUCGGGCGCCUCCCGUGUUCUUGCCGGAAUCCACCACAAUCAGCGAUGGCGAGGCCGGCACUUGCGGGAUCCGUCACCGAUGUUGCCCAGUCACCAUGGCGCGGAGGAGGAGGGGGCACACCUAGCCGCCAGCCCUGCUCUGCUCGAGGAGUAGGGGCCUGCUCCUAGGGUGACCAAGAGGUCCUGCACGAGCUCAAGCAUGGCCAUGAUGACCCACCACGGCAGGUGAAUUUUGCUUCUAUUCUGGUUGUGGAUAGCCUUGGUAUCAAUGUGAAGAGUUUGGAUGGAGCAUCGAGGAUUUCAGGCAUGGGGUGGGGUGGCCACGUGUUGCAGGAUCGCCAGAAGAGUUGGAUGUGUUCUGUAGAGGCCAGGUGAUCAAUGUCGUUGCCAACAGUAGGGAACACAUGGACAUGAAGUUGCGGUGGCAACAAUGACGACGGUAUCGACAUUGUCACGGGGCUGCGGCGGCGACGACGACGACGACAUCAUCACGAUGAUGCGGGGACGACGGCGGUGUCGUCACGAUACUGCUGCGGAGGCAACGACGAUGACAUCAACACCAUCAACGGGCUUGUGGAGGCGCCGGCGACCUAUACGUGUGGUGUAUAAUGGAUAUAUAUAUAUGUGUGUGUGUAUUAAUUAUCUAUAUCAGAUAUGUAUGUUUGACUGUAUGCAUAACAUGGGUGUAUUAUGAAAUGCAUGUAUGUGAGUAUUAUAAU